UUGCACAAACGGGCUCCAGCGUAGAUGAAAGAACCAGAAGAGUAUCGAACAAUCCACCCACAUUCUCCCCGGUUGAUUUUGCGCGUCAAUCCAAUAAGCAUCAACAUUUGAUUUUCAGUGCUCUUCUGGAGGGGCCUUCCGCCUGCUCAGACUCGCGUGAUUCUUUGAUCUCGUUGAUACUAGAGCAUGAUGCAGUCAAAGCCAAUCAUAACAUCAUCCGUUAUCAGUUUGCUUGGCACAAAAGUUGCAGGGGAGAUCACGGAGUCGAGAUAUCUUUCAAGUCUAUUAGCCAAAGUUUUUGUAAUCAUCUUGUAAAGAAAGCUUCAUAAGUCGAGUAACCUCAAGUGGUUAGGAGGUUUCCAAAUGCUUCUACUCCUUUUGUUCUAUGAAUCCAUCUAAAUACUUUCUGAGA